rnacentral:ncRNA from 1 species
ACAAUGAAGAGUUUGAUCCUGGCUCAGGAUGAACGCUAGCGGCAGGCCUAACACAUGCAAGUCGAGGGGUAGAAAGUGCUUGCACUUUUGAGACCGGCGGACGGGUGAGUAACGCGUAUGCAAUCUGCCUUGUACAGGGGAAUAGCCCAGGGAAACUUGGAUUAAUGCCCCAUAGUAUUAUAGAACGGCAUUGUUUUAUAAUUAAAGAUUUAUCGGUACAAGAUGAGCAUGCGUCCCAUUAGCUAGUUGGUGUGGUAACGGCACACCAAGGCUACGAUGGGUAGGGGCCCUGAGAGGGGGAUCCCCCACACUGGUACUGAGACACGGACCAGACUCCUACGGGAGGCAGCAGUGAGGAAUAUUGGACAAUGGGCGAGAGCCUGAUCCAGCCAUGCCGCGUGCAGGAAGACAGCCCUAUGGGUCGUAAACUGCUUUUAUACGGGAAGAAACACCCCCUCGUGAGGGGGCUUGACGGUACCGUAUGAAUAAGGACCGGCUAACUCCGUGCCAGCAGCCGCGGUAAUACGGAGGGUCCGAGCGUUAUCCGGAAUCAUUGGGUUUAAAGGGUCCGUAGGCGGGCGAUUAAGUCAGUGGUGAAAGUCUGCAGCUCAACUGUAGAAUUGCCAUUGAUACUGGUUGUCUUGAAUCGUUGUGAAGUGGCUAGAAUAUGUGGUGUAGCGGUGAAAUGCUUAGAUAUCACAUAGAAUAC